rnacentral:lncRNA from 1 species
GACUAUGGGCUGGAGGACUUUGAGGAUGUCUGUCUCAUAACACUUGGGUUGUAUCUGUUCUAUGGGGCUUGUUUUAAGCUUGGCAACUUGCAACAGGGUUCACUGACUUUCUCCCCAGGCCCAAGGUAUUCCUUCAUAACAAAUACUUUGGCUUUCAUAUAUUUGAGUAAAGUCCCCCUUGAGGAAGAGUAGAAGAACUGCACUUUGUAAAUACUAUCCUGGAAUCCAAACGGAUAGACAAGGAUGGUGCUACCUCUUUCUGGAGACUUCCAUAUUGGAUUCUUACCAAUGUACUGCAGAGAUAAGUUUAGCUGACC